rnacentral:rRNA from 1 species
AUUGAACGCUGGCGGCAUGCCUAACACAUGCAAGUCGAGCGGAUGAAGGGAGCUUGUUCCUUGAUUCAGCGGGGGACGGGAGAGUGAUGCCUAUGAAUCUGCCUGUUUGGGGAGGAUGGGGUCAGUCAACGGACGCGGAUACCACAUACGUCUUUAUUCUGAAAGUGGAGGAUCUUCAGACCUCAAGCUAUCUGAUGCGCCUAGGUCGGAUUAGCUAGUUGGUGCGGUAAAGGCCUACCAAGGCGACGAUCCGUAACUGGUCUGAGAGGAUGAUCAGUCACACUGGAACUGAGACACGGUCCAGACUCCUACGGGAGGCAGCAGUGGGGAAUAUUGGACAAUGGGCGAAAGCCUGAUCCAGCCACGCCGCGUGUGUGAAGAAGGUCUUCGGAUUGUAAAGCACUUUUAGUAGGGAAGAAGAGAAGUAUGUGAAUAUGUGCAUAUAUUGACGUUACCUAAAGAAUAAGCACCGGCUAACUACGUG